GUGACACCCGCAUCGCCUCGGUCAAUUGUGACACCCGGAGUGACACCCGGAGUGUAGCAAUCCUAAUUCAUUUAUUUAUUCCACAAACAUGCGUUGAGCAACGCCUCCCUGCCACUGCCUUGGGCUCCUGAAGCCAUUGCUCCACAAAAGAAAGCAGAGACGGAUUUUCACAACGAAAAGUUGUGUCUUAGACACAUGAAUCACUAUAGCUUGGAGGCCCUCAGCUUACUGCCCUGGGGGGGUACCCAGUGAUCACACGUGCCCACGUUUAUACUCCAAGACAACACUCUCCUUGGCUAGAGUUUAUUUGACCAGUUGAUGGGCUCAACUGAAGAAUUUGGAACUGUGAUGAUCCUUCCAUAUGUAACCCAGGGUGAGCCGGGUGCGGAGUACACAGCAAAGGACGACCGGGUUCUGAACCUACGGCCUCCGCAUGCUGAGGGCUCUGCUACUACGAAGCUACAGCCGCGGCCCCUUUGGAAGCAGUCACAAGAAUCGUCUCCGGGUUCUGCUCCCCGUCCCUCCCGUCCGCACAGCCCGACUUGG
rnacentral:sRNA from 1 species